AUUGAACGCUGGCGGCAGGCCUAACACAUGCAAGUCGAGCGGAUGAAGGGAGCUUGCUCCUGGAUUCAGCGGCGGACGGGUGAGUAAUGCCUAGGAAUCUGCCUGGUAGUGGGGGAUAACGUCCGGAAACGGGCGCUAAUACCGCAUACGUCCUGAGGGAGAAAGUGGGGGAUCUUCGGACCUCACGCUAUCAGAUGAGCCUAGGUCGGAUUAGCUAGUUGGUGGGGUAAAGGCCUACCAAGGCGACGAUCCGUAACUGGUCUGAGAGGAUGAUCAGUCACACUGGAACUGAGACACGGUCCAGACUCCUACGGGAGGCAGCAGUGGGGAAUAUUGGACAAUGGGCGAAAGCCUGAUCCAGCCAUGCCGCGUGUGCGAAGAAGGUCUUCGGAUUGUAAAGCACUGUAAGUUGGGAGGAAGGGCAGUAAGUUAAUACCUUGCUGUUUUGACGUUACCAACAGAAUAAGCACCGGCUAACUUCGUG
rnacentral:rRNA from 1 species